GGGUAUAGCUCAGUGGUAGAGCACAUGCUUAGCAUGCACGAGGUCCUGGGCUCAAUCUCCUGUAUCUCCA
rnacentral:tRNA from 1 species